rnacentral:lncRNA from 1 species
AGGAUGAGAGAGGCCCAUAUUUAGUUGUGAGAGAAUACUAAAUAAUAUAUUAUUCCAGAUUGAAAAUUCCUUUCGUCACUCUAUCUAGUUUCCCCCCUUUUUCUCACAAUUUUUUUUGAAUGGAUGCUAGAACUGGGUUCGAUUUUUUCUCUUCAAGAUGGAUCUUUGCUAAUCGAGAUGGAUCUUUGCACAAGAAUACUAGAGACUGUAAACAAACCUUGAAAAUGUAGGUUAUCACCAAUUUUCUCUUGUUCUUCAUGUUCUUCGAGUUUUGGUGAUUUUGCUUGUCCUUAUUUUUCUCUCUUGAUUUCUUUGAUGGAUGAUCGAUUUGGCUUCAUUUUGACGGGUCUCGACAAGAAGAAACAAUAAAAGAGUGCAAACUUUUAAAAGGUAGGUUAGCUCUCUUUUUAGUUUUGUUCUUCGUAUUCUUUGAGUUCUUCUGGAUUUUAAUAUUUUUCAUUGUGUUAUUUUUUCAUUUUUUUCCGGUUUUUGUGUUCACAUCCCACGGGGACAAAAGCAAGUCGUGUCGGUACUUUUGUAUCAUUGUACGACAUGAACGUUUGUAUCACUUGCCGGUACGAACGUUUUGUUCACGUCCCAACAUAACGAAUAUAGGUCAUUGCUAUAAGUUUGUUUGAUAGGCAUAUUUACAUCCCACAAAGAUGAACACAUGUCGUGGCAAUAUGUUUGUAACGAUAAAAUGUACAAACACAUGUUGUGGGAAUUCAUUUGUACUGAUAAAAUGAACAAACCUAUAUAUUAUUCGUUCUAACUAAUGAUUUUAUAACUAAUAAGUUUUAAUAUUUUUCCAUUGUUGCAUGAGUACCUAA